AAACCCUUUCAGCUAAGAAAGUGAUUUAUUCGUAUGAAAUGUCAAUUCCUCGCAUGUUGAUCCAGUCCUUGAUUUCGCCUCGGACUUGAUCAAAUUGCGUGCACUUGAAAUCUAGUCGAGUCCUCGUAGUCGGAUUUCAAACAUUACGUCACAUUAAUCAUUAUAGAGACUCUCAAGUUUGCCGAGUUUCGAGAUGAUGUCAGGGAGCUUUUUUGCUUAAAAGCAUGUAGGACGGCAACACGACGACGACGGCAACCAAUACAAUGAGUCAAUGAAAACAAAUAAAUAAUUAAAGUCCCGGGGGAGUUUCAGACGUAUAGUCGUCGCUCUGUUUACAACGGCAAAUCACAGAUUUUCACGUCUUUCAUACAACACCUGCAUUUCAAGCCGUAACAAGUGUAACUUAAAAUUCGGUUCAGUAGAACUCUUCCCAAACAUAAAGCCAAUAUUUUCAACUUCUUAUACUGUAUUAAAUUCAUACGAAUUAUAAUAUACGACAAGUUUUCUUUACUAUCAUUUAUUUGAAGGAAUUUGUUUUGGUCGUCGUAUUGCCGUCCUACAUGCUUAAGCUCCCUACUGUUUACUAUGAGAUGACAACGCGGUUCGUUAAGCUAGUGUUUUAUUUUAAAAAUAGGUUUUAAUUGCGACAGCAUGAAAUUAGGUCAGUGUAAUUAAAAUGAAAAGACGCCGAGGAAUAAAUAAUUACAGAAUAAUUCACACUUUGUACAAGAUACAUUGACACAUUUUUAGCUAACGAAUAUAUUUAUAGUUUGCUCUUAAAAUAUUGUAGUCGUCAUAGAAUAACUUAUCUGUUCUUUGCAUUUCGUAUCACAAGGCAAAACAUGUAAACAAUUCCUAAAAUAUUUACGUCAAUAUUAAUCAAUUGUCCAUGCAGCUCUGGCUUUGUAGCCUUAUUUAAGUCAUCCCCAAUGUAAUUCCCCAAGGCAUUGGCACCUGGAAAUUUGCAUAUCUUUAAUUUUCACUUUGCAAUCAGCUGAUUCUUAUGCAAA